rnacentral:ribozyme from 16 species
UUUUUUUUUUUUUUUUUAUUUUUUUUUUUUUUUUUUUUUUUUU